GAUGAACGCUGGCGGCGUGCCUAAUACAUGCAAGUCGAGCGAACGGACGAGAAGCCUGCUUUUCUGAUGUUAGCGGCGGACGGGUGAGUAACACGUGGAUAACCUACCUAUAAGACUGGGAUAACUUCGGGAAACCGGAGCUAAUACCGGAUAAUAUUUUGAACCGCAUGGUUCAAAAGUGAAAGACGGUCUUGCUGUCACUUAUAGAUGGAUCCGCGCUGCAUUAGCUAGUUGGUAAGGUAACGGCUUACCAAGGCAACGAUGCAUAGCCGACCUGAGAGGGUGAUCGGCCACACUGGAACUGAGACACGGUCCAGACUCCUACGGGAGGCAGCAGUAGGGAAUCUUCCGCAAAGGGCGAAGGCCUGACGGAGCAACGCCGCGUGAGUGAUGAAGGUCUUCGGAUCGUAAAACUCUGUUAUUAGGGAAGAACAUAUGUGUAAGUAACUGUGCACAUCUUGACGGUACCUAAUCAGAAAGCCACGGCUAACUACGUG
rnacentral:rRNA from 1 species